rnacentral:rRNA from 1 species
AGUGAACGCUGGCGGUAGGCCUAACACAUGCAAGUCGAACGGCAGCACAGUAAGAGCUUGCUCUUACGGGUGGCGAGUGGCGGACGGGUGAGGAAUACAUCGGAAUCUACUUUUUCGUGGGGGAUAACGUAGGGAAACUUACGCUAAUACCGCAUACGACCUACGGGUGAAAGCAGGGGAGCUUCGGACCUUGCGCGAUUGAAUGAGCCGAUGUCGGAUUAGCUAGUUGGCGGGGUAAAGGCCCACCAAGGCGACGAUCCGUAGCUGGUCUGAGAGGAUGAUCGGCCACACUGGAACUGAGACACGGUCCAGACCCCUACGGGAGGCAGCAGUGGGGAAUAUUGAACAAUGGGCGAAAGCCUGAUCCAGCCAUACCGCGUGGGUGAAGAAGGCCUUCGGGUUGUAAAGCCCUUUUGUUGGGAAAGAAAAGCAGCAGGUUAAUACCCCGCUGUUCUGACGGUACCCAAAGAAUAAGCACCGGCUAACUUCGU